rnacentral:rRNA from 1 species
GAGUUUGAUCAUGGCUCAGGUUGAACGCUGGCGGCAUGCCUUACACAUGCAAGUCGAACGGCAGCAUGAUCUAGCUUGCUAGAUUGAUGGCGAGUGGCGAACGGGUGAGUAAUACAUCGGAACGUGCCCUGUAGUGGGGGAUAACUAGUCGAAAGAUUAGCUAAUACCGCAUACGACCUGAGGGUGAAAGUGGGGGACCGCAAGGCCUCAUGCUAUAGGAGCGGCCGAUGUCUGAUUAGCUAGUUGGUGGGGUAAAGGCCCACCAAGGCGACGAUCAGUAGCUGGUCUGAGAGGACGAUCAGCCACACUGGGACUGAGACACGGCCCAGACUCCUACGGGAGGCAGCAGUGGGGAAUUUUGGACAAUGGGCGAAAGCCUGAUCCAGCAAUGCCGCGUGUGUGAAGAAGGCCUCGG